rnacentral:ncRNA from 1 species
UAUCUGGUUGAUUCUGCCAGUAGUCAUAUGCUUGUCUCAAAGAUUAAGCCAUGCAUGUCUAAGUAUAAGCAAUUUAUACGGUGAAACUGCGAAUGGCUCAUUAAAUCAGUUAUCGUUUAUUUGAUAGUACCUUACUACAUGGAUACCUGUGGUAAUUCUAGAGCUAAUACAUGCUAAAAACCUCGACUUCGGAAGGGGUGUAUUUAUUAGAUAAAAAACCAAUGCCCUUCGGGGCUCCUUGGUGAAUCAUAAUAACUUAACGAAUCGCAUGGCCUUGCGCCGGCGAUGGUUCAUUCAAAUUUCUGCCCUAUCAACUUUCGAUGGUAGGAUAGUGGCCUACCAUGGUGGCAACGGGUAACGGGGAAUUAGGGUUCGAUUCCGGAGAGGGAGCCUGAGAAACGGCUACCACAUCCAAGGAAGGCAGCAGGCGCGCAAAUUACCCAAUCCCGACACGGGGAGGUAGUGACAAUAAAUACUGAUACGGGGCUCUUUUGGGUCUCGUAAUUGGAAUGAGUACAAUCUAAAUCCCUUAACGAGGAACAAUUGGAGGGCAAGUCUGGUGCCAGCAGCCGCGGUAAUUCCAGCUCCAAUAGCGUAUAUUAAAGUUGUUGCAGUUAAAAAGCUCGUAGUUGAACCUUGGGUCUGGCUGGCCGGUCCGCCUCACCGCGAGUACUGGUCCGGCUGGACCUUUCCUUCUGGGGAACCUCAUGGCCUUCACUGGCUGUGGGGGGAACCAGGACUUUUACUGUGAAAAAUUAGAGUGUUCAAAGCACGCCUUUGCUCGAAUACAUUAGCAUGGAAUAAUAGAAUAGGACG